UGCCAGCAGCCGCGGUAAUACGGAGGGUGCAAGCGUUGUUCGGAAUCACUGGGCAUAAAGCGCACGCAGGCGGAUUGGAAAGUCGGUUGUGAAAGCCCGGGGCUCAACUCCGGAACUGCUUCCGAAACUUCCAGUCUAGAGGAUGAGAGGGGAGAGUGGAACUUCUGGUGGAGCGGUGAAAUGCGUAGAGAUCAGAAGGAACACCGGUGGCGAAGGCGACUCUCUGGCUCAUUUCUGACGCUCAGGUGCGAAAGCUAGGGGAGCGAACGGGAUUAGAUA
rnacentral:rRNA from 1 species